CCGUACAAACUUCCCAAAUCUUAUACGUUAACCAGGAAAACGUCGAGUGUAAGGAGGAGACAUCAGGAGGCAGGACUCUGUCUGGAGGAGCAAAGGAAAAGACCAAAGUACUGCCUGGAGAGAACUCUGAGGAAAAUGGGGAGCUAAGAUACUUGCUGUCCUCAGGAGGAGGGGAGACGUCUGGGGCAGGAGACCCAUCCUGGAAACCAGUGGAUCUCCAUGGGAAUGAAAUCUUGUCAGGGGGCGGAGGACCCGGAGGAACAGGGCAGGCUAUGCACGGGCCUGUGAAGCUAGGAGGGACACCCCCUGCAGAUGGAAAGUGCUUUGCUUGCUUGUGUGGAAAACGGUUUGCAGUCAAGCCGAAACGAGACCGACACAUCAUGUUGAC
rnacentral:lncRNA from 1 species